rnacentral:rRNA from 1 species
AGGACGAACGCUGGCGGCGUGCUUAACACAUGCAAGUCGAACGGUGACCCUCGGAGCUUGCUUCGAGGUGAUCAGUGGCGAACGGGUGAGUAACACGUGAGUAACCUGCCCCAGACUCUGGGAUAACCCCGGGAAACCGGAGCUAAUACCGGAUAUGACACGGAGAGGCAUCUCUACCGUGUGGAAAGUUUUUCGGUCUGGGAUGGACUCGCGGCCUAUCAGCUUGUGGUGAGGUAAUGGCUCACCAAGGCGACGAC